UUCCUGGUGGUCCAGUGGUUAAGACUUCACACUCUCAAUGCUGGGGGCCCAGGUCCAAACCCUGAUCAGGAAA
rnacentral:tRNA from 1 species